UACGUAGGGGGCCAGCGUUGUCCGGAAUCAUUGGGCGUAAAGCGCGUGUAGGCGGUCCGGUAAGUCCGCUGUGAAAGUCGGGGGCUCAACCCUCGGAUGCCGGUGGAUACUGUCGGGCUUGAGUACGGAAGAGGCGAGUGGAAUUCCUGGUGUAGCGGUGAAAUGCGCAGAUAUCAGGAGGAACACCAAUUGCGAAGGCAGCUCGCUGGGACGUUACUGACGCUGAGACGCGAAAGCGUGGGGAGCAAACAGG
rnacentral:rRNA from 1 species